CUGGCUGGUUCAGUUCCUUUGACUUGGGAUUCUUUAAAAUAGCUCCUUCCAGCUCAUGAAAGAAGAGCUACCUCAGGUAAUAAAGGGAAGUUGAUAAACUAGUUUGCUCAUAAUGGCUAAGCAAACAGAAUCAAAAGUUGCUUUAAAUAAAGCCAGGAAGCUGUCCCAGUGAGGAGGUGUUUCAUCUAAGAUGGAAGAGAAAGCUGAGGCAGCUGAACUUGACUGAUUCACAGGUAAUUUGAAACUCUGCCACUGGAUGGCUGUGCAGCAGUCCCACUAAACCUGCCAUCUCAAUCCUGCCUUCUUGAAGAGGGGCAGCCGUAAGACAAAACUGUCAUGAGGAAGCAGAGCUAAGGGCUGGCCUCUACACCCAAUCUCGAUAUUCUACAGUACAACCACCCUGUGAGGCCUGAUAACUCUGCCUGGCAUAUAAGAAAACAGACUCAAAGAUCAGAAGCCUUGAAUAAUGUCGCAGAGACUUAUAUCCACUACAUGUAGGGAUGAAGGGGGAAAAACCUGCUACACAAAUGCUUGAAGUGGAGACUCUCUGGGAGCUCCGGGGCCCAGGUGCUUCACUUCAAUGUGGAGCGAAGGAUGAGGCCUUCCCUUAGAUCUUGCGAUGAAGCCAGAGCAACUGGGCCAGCACUUACAAGCUCUCUUUUUCAGGGAUGGGUCACUUGCCCUGGCCCUGAAGCAGGUCAGCUGCAGUACAGCAGUCCCAGGACACUGGCUGAGAAGAGCCGAGCAGCCUCUCAAAUUGCUCCGCUUCAGCCUUCAGGGCCAGGGCUGGCGUUAGGAGGAGGCAGAGUAGAUGGAAUCUUCAAAUGGGGGUACAGGACAGGGUUCCUCCCCCCCCCCCCACACACACACUCACUGUGAGCUGUUGACUGUGCCUGAAACAUUACAGAAAAUAGAAACUUCCAUCAGAUGGGAAACCCUACCACCAUAUCUCGAAUCCUGCCUGCUGAGGACUCAUCUUCUCCAUCUUCUCUACCUUCCCUCAUGCUACAGGGAGAGUUUUCUUCUGCCUCUCAAAAGGUUAACACCUCUACACAUGCUCUGGACGCCAUGCCCUUUGACCCAGGAACUGUUCUUUUUAUUCUCUCUCCUGCAUCUUCCCCUUUUCCCUUUCUUUACUGGGUCACUGCACUAACAUACAGAAAGCUCUAGCUGUUUCCACAUUUAAAAACUAACAGCAAAACACCUUCCCUUGAUCUCAUAUGCUACUCUAGCCACUCUCCUAUUUCUCUGCUGUACAUGCAUGGCCAAAUUUAUGGAAGGAGUUGGUGUCUCCAUUUUGUCACCAUUUAAUCAUUCUCAAAAUUCUAAUUAUGUAUGAUUUUGUGAUUUCAUUGUGUAAUAUAUCAAAGAAUCUAUGUAACACGUGAAUUAUAAAGUGUAAUAAAAAUCAACAUCUAUAAGCCCACAACCCAA